UACGUAGGGUGCAAGCGUUGUCCGGAAUUAUUGGGCGUAAAGAGCUCGUAGGCGGCUUGUCGCGUCGGCUGUGAAAACCUGGGGCUCAACCCCGGGCCUGCAGCCGAUACGGGCAAGCUAGAAUUCGGUAGGGGAGACUGGAAUUCCUGGUGUAGCGGUGAAAUGCGCAGAUAUCAGGAGGAACACCGGUGGCGAAGGCGGGUCUCUGGGCCGAUAUUGACGCUGAGACGCGAAAGCGUGGGGAGCGAACAGG
rnacentral:rRNA from 1 species